GCUAGGACGAACGCUGGCGGCGUGCCUAACACAUGCAAGUCGAACGGAGUUAAGGAGCUUGCUCCCUAACUUAGUGGCGGACGGGUGAGUAACACGUGAGCAACCUGCCUUUCAGAGGGGGACAACAGUUGGAAACGACUGCUAAUACCGCAUAACAUCAUCGGACGGCAUUGUCUGAUGAUCAAAGAUUUAUCGCUGAAAGAUGGGCUCGCGUCUGAUUAGAUAGUUGGUGAGGUAACGGCCCACCAAGUCGACGAUCAGUAGCCGGACUGAGAGGUUGAACGGCCACAUUGGGACUGAGACACGGCCCAGACUCCUACGGGAGGCAGCAGUGGGGGAUAUUGGCAAUGGGGGGCCAACCCUGAUCCAGCGACGCCGCGUGAGGGAAGAAGGUUUUCGGAUUGUAAACCUCUGUUGACAGGGAAGAAAAUGACGGUACCUGUUAAGAAAGCCACGGCUAACUACGUGCCAGCCGCCGC
rnacentral:rRNA from 1 species